rnacentral:rRNA from 1 species
CCUACGGGUGGCAGCAGUGAGGAAUAUUGGUCAAUGGACGAGAGUCUGAACCAGCCAAGUAGCGUGAAGGAUGACUGCCCUAUGGGUUGUAAACUUCUUUUAUAUGGGAAUAAAAUGUUCCACGUGUGGGAUUUUGUAUGUACCAUAUGAAUAAGGAUCGGCUAACUCCGUGCCAGCAGCCGCGGUAAUACGGAGGAUCCGAGCGUUAUCCGGAUUUAUUGGGUUUAAAGGGAGCGUCGGUGGAUUGUUAAGUCAGUUGUGAAAGUUUGCGGCUCAACCGUAAAAUUGCAGUUGAAACUGGCAGUCUUGAGUACAGUAGAGGUGGGCGGAAUUCGUGGUGUAGCGGUGAAAUGCUUAGAUAUCACGAAGAACUCCGAUUGCGAAGGCAGUUCACUGGACUGCAACUGACACUGAGGCUCGAAAGUGUGGGUAUCAAACAGGAUUAGAUACCCGUGUAGUC